rnacentral:rRNA from 1 species
AACGAACGCUGGCGGCAGGCCUAACACAUGCAAGUCGAGCGGACCUUUCGGGGUCAGCGGCGGACGGGUGAGUAACGCGUGGGAAUAUGCCCUUCUCUACGGAAUAGUCCUGGGAAACUGGGGUUAAUACCGUAUACGCCCUUUGGGGGAAAGAUUUAUCGGGGAAGGAUUAGCCCGCGUUGGAUUAGGUAGUUGGUGGGGUAAUGGCCUACCAAGCCGACGAUCCAUAGCUGGUUUGAGAGGAUGAUCAGCCACACUGGGACUGAGACACGGCCCAGACUCCUACGGGAGGCAGCAGUGGGGAAUCUUAGACAAUGGGGGCAACCCUGAUCUAGCCAUGCCGCGUGAGUGAUGAAGGCCUUAGGGUUGUAAAGCUCUUUCAGCUGGGAAGAUAAUGACGGUACCAGCAGAAGAAGCCCCGGCUAACUCCGUG